GGCUGAGUUUCUCGGAAAUCAGUCAGUCCCAAAAUAUGCUUUGAACGAGCAACACACUUAUUAUUUCGGUUUAGUAGAGCAGACUCCAAAAUUUUCAAUGAAAACAAAAGUGAGUAAAAAUUAUUAAUAUUUUUUUGUGAAUAGAGAUAACUAGUGUACCGGGUAUCAUAUACUCCAAGAAGUCCUGUAGAAAAAAGUGUCUAAAUUCUAGUAUUUAUUUUAAUAUUUUUGGCGAAAAGUGAAUAUUAAACAGUGAAGGUUAACCCCUAGCUAUAGUACCGGUUAUCAUAUAUUCCAAGAAGUCCUAGUCCUUAUUAGAAGCAAAAUGGCGGCAAUUUAGGACGUAAUAAGGGUUAAGGACACUUAAGGACACUUUGGAACACACUGUAGACACAUACAUAUAUAUUGCUGGAGGAUACCUAUAUCGGGCAUUCGCGAAUGUCCACCGCUGGUAUUGACGGAUUAUAAAUAAUAAAUAGUACACACUUUACACACUGUCGAUCAGGAAAUUGAACACAAAAUUCGCACUUGUCUCCAUUGGGUUUGACAUCACACUGUUCCUCAGUUUGUGGCAGAUCAUCACCUGAAUCCCGCAAACUGAGAACACAAUCCUGGACACAAGCCGAAUAAUUAGGAUAUCACAUAACUUGUUCAAUAAAGAUUAUAAUCUUCAAA